rnacentral:rRNA from 1 species
UCUAAGGCAAAAUACGACCACGAGACUGAUAGCGAACAAGUACCUGAGGGAAAGUUGAAAAGAACUUUGAAGANAGAGUUCAAGAGUACGUGAAACCGUUCAGGGGUAAACCUAAGAAACCCAAAGGUCGAACGGGGAGAUUCAUCGUCAGCGGCGCUGGCUUCGCGUCGGUGGGCGAUGUCCCGCAGAAUUCUCGCGGCUCUCGCACGGGCACGCUACCGUGCGUCGAUGUACGGCGCUCGUUGUCGUGCACUUUUCCCCAAGUAGAACGUCGCGACCCGCUGGGUGUCGGUCUACGGGCCGGGGUGCGGUGACCGUCGCGUCGCCGUAAAACGGCACGCGACAAACCCCCGGUCGCCCAGCCGGCUGCUCGGCGGUACGCGCAAGGUAUCAGGCCGCACUGUUUACGAUGCGUCGAGGCCGUCGCAAGCGCGCGCCACGGUACUCGGAGGUUACGGACUUUGCGCCGUACCCGGUCCUGGUCCGCUGUUGGUUAAAGUACGGUUCAUCUUCGACAGGCCUGUCGAACGUCCCUCUCCCUCCCUUGUGGGUCGCGUGGGGGAUCGAAACCGGUCGGCGACGCUACUGCUUUGGGUACUCUUAGGACCCG